rnacentral:lncRNA from 1 species
GGAGCUGCUUUUACGCAGUGUUUUGAGGUGCAGGACUGCAAUGCCCGCACUUCCGGACCCCAGACUCUUCCUACGGCGACUGACACCUCAGACACGCGUUGUGGGGGGCGGCGCUCUGGCUCCGGGGCUGUGCCCAGCGCGAGCGUGGCCGGCACCCACUUGCUGCAGAGCCGGCACUGCACUGGGGUUCUUGGGGGCGGCUCCUCCAGACGUCUCUGCGGGUUGUCGGGUGCUGCCGAGUUGGGUUGGGGGACGCUACAGGUAGUGGGUCCGGAGCAGCGGCUGGCCCCUCAUCUCACUGCCCUUCCUCGGACCCCACCGUCCUCUGGAAGCUUGUGCAGGGCACCUGCCACUGUGACCACCUGGACGCAGGCUGAACUGUCUGCUUGCUUGGAAGGCCCAGCUGGCUCAGCACAAAUCCUUUAACCGUUUCUCCCCAAGAGGGUGUCAAGUCAGCAAACCAGCUGUGAUCUCCAGUUUGGAGCAGGGGAAGGAGCCAUGGAUGGAGGAGGAAGAGAUAAGGACGUGGAGCUUCCCAGAAAGCUGACUUCAUGAGACCGAGGAUCUCGUUCGUUGAUCGAUGCUACAUAUUCAGCAUGUUAGAUAAUGAGGUUGGUGAGAUUGAUGAAAUCCCGCCCACCAGGGCCGACCCACAAAGAGCCACUUUAUGAAGAACAUGCUCCUGAACUCCACUCCACAACCAGCUUUUGAAAAGAAAAAUCUGAAAAAAUUUGACCUCAGUUAAACUGGUCCAAAUGCCUGAGCAUAACCAAAAUCUUUCCUCAUUCACUCUUCACGUGGACCGUGUUUAAUUUGGUUGCUGGUGAUCAUAUUUGUUUUAGUAAAGGCUGUCACUCUAUCUUGGGCGAAGA